CAUACUGCGGCUCUCCAGGACCGACAUUGCCCACCCCUGGAUUAGAGCUUUGUUUCAUUUCUGGAAUUUGCUUUUAUUUUCUUUAUUGGAACACAGAGAUAUUUUUAAUGGUCCUUCAUUGUGAAAGAAUUCAUGUGUACAAUUAAUGGAAAGUGCUGGAGCUAUGAAGUUGCAGUGCAGAAGAGGGAUGAGAUGGAGUUGAGGAAGAGACUGAUAAUAAUCAAAUGGGUUUAAAUUAUUAAUGGAUCAAACAUCCGUCAAUGAAAAGUUAGCUUUUUUUUGUGUUUACAGCACUCCCAUCCAUAUAGAACAUUGCUUUGUUUGCCAUAAAGUCUUGUGAGUUGAGCAGAUACACAUUCAUGAAGUUUUUGUUCUUCACUUUUAAUCCAGUGUUGCAGUGUGUAUUUGCAAAAAUAUUUAUGAAAAUUCAAAGUGUGGUCACUACCUGCUUGGGGUUUGCAUGGUCUCAUUUGUGUAGAUUUUUUCUGUAGGUGGUAUUGUUUUCUUGUUAAACUCACAGCCUAGCAAGUUAGGUUGGUUGUUAAUUUUUAAUUGUGUCUGUGUAAAUAAGUGCUGGUGCUCACAUGUGGCCUACAAUGGACUAAUAGUUUUGCUACCAAGGCUUCUGACACAAGCUUCAACCAUGACCCCAAACAUUGGGUCCAAAAAUGUUUUAAUGGAUGUUUGCAAUAGGGCAACACAGUAGUUAUUUCCUCUUGUUUGCAGCAGAAUUCUGUCCGGUGUAUAUAGAGUUUGCACAGUUGUACUGUCUUUUCUUCUGCAAUACCACAUUCCCCACUACGUCCCAAAGAUACAUAAAUUAGGCUGACUACUGAUGUAGAACUGAGUGAGUGUGAGUGUGCAAGAGAGUGCACUCUGUGUUGUACUGGAGGUCCAUCCAGGGUACUUUUCUGUCUUUCACCCAGUGCUUCAUUCCUUCUGUAGGAAUAUGUAAAUUAAUAAAACAAAGGAAUGAAACUUUAUGAUAUGACAGGAUCAUGCAGGAUAAUAUAAGAUGAUUGUAAGAGCUGCCCAGCAGAUAUGCCUGUAUAUGUACAAUAGGCAGAGGCAAAAUAAAGAACCAAAGAACAAAAAAGAUCAAUAAUAUUUGUAUUUAUUACUAUAUUACAGUGUGAUUUUUGUAUCAGAAAUUAAACACGUAGUUUCUGAAAAAUGGUCAGUUAAACUAAUAACAGCAUUCAAGACCAUUUCUGUUACACAUACAACAAUCAAGGUAUGCAGGCACAGUAAAUGUGAUCAAAACAAAUUAAAUGUAUAAUCUUAUAUUGUAUAUAUAGAAUAUAUAUAAAUAUACAGCUCUGUACAGUACAAACUGUAUGUUUCUAUUUCAAAAGUUGCCUAAUGCUCCAGUACAAGUAAAGAUGAAUCCAGAUUUUAUAGUUGGUCAUACACGUGACAUCUUAACUAGAUGUACUACAUUGAUUAACUACAUUGUAAACUAGACAGAGCAAUAUCACUGUUUGUGCCACUGUUGGGACUAAUGUGCUUGUAAGGAAGGCAAAUCAUUUAUUCGUUGGGAGUGGCCAUUUUAAUAAGUUCUUCCAACUAAAAGUAGAUUGCUCCAUUAUAACCAGAAAAACCCUGAUUCAACCGCACCCCCACAUGGACUCUGUUAGGUACAAAGUGUGCUUUGUCUCACCAUCCACAUGGAUCUUUUGGAAUCAGGCAUUCAUCAGAGCAAGUGAUUUUUUCUUGUUCAUAAUUGUCCAGCGUUGUAUCUUGUUGCAUUGUUGUGUUGCAUCCUGCAUAAGUCUCUUUCAGAAUUUUUGCCAAUCCCAUAAAAAUCCUGAUUCAUGCAGGACAAACAUUUUAAUAAGCCAUCAUGAUUUUGUGUCCUGUAAGCUGGCAGCUGUCCAUUCACUUACUUUUUCCUACCCUUGACUAGAUACUUUUUGUUGAAUCAUUCUUCAAAUAGUCAGGAUGUUGUUGUGUGUGGGUGGUCAUGUCCUAGAUGUUCCCACCAGUGCACCGUGACUGUUUCCUCAUUGUCUAAAUAAUAAGUAAAUAUAUCUGGGUCUAAUUCCUGUCUACAUGAUUUACAUUGCCUGAGCUGUAAUGCAUAAUGUUGUGUGCAUGGGUGGGUCUGGGUCACAAUAAUGCAGAUGGUGUUUUUUUCCUGAGGAUUGGCUCCAGCAAAAAUCCAGCCAAAAGAUUAAAAAAAUAUGCUGGACCUGCUUACAGCUUUAUUUCUUGGUGAGCAGCUUUGACAGAAUGAUUUACUAAACCAUGAAAGUGAGGUGGACAGGGGUUAGAGGUCUGUAAAGAUCUUAGCAGUCAAGUACUGUUCCAAAAGGAUAACUAUUAACAGAUGAUGGGAUCUUCUUAUGUUCAUACAGUGAGAGACAAAAUAUUUCAGUUAGAAUAGUAACUAGACAAAGUCUUACCUGAGAACCCAAACUUUCUCUCCAGUUUACAGUGACAAAGUAUAUCAAACCAAAUCAAAAUCAAAAAUGACAGCUCUGCAGCACCUGGCUUGCCUGUGAUUCACUAGUCCUGUUGUGAUUUUAAAGUAUAGUAAUUUGAGAUACAAACAGCAGAGGGCAGCUUUCUUCAUUAUUUUGUUUUGUUUGUUUUUUUUAAACUCCAUUUUUUACAUUACUGUAUUUUUUUUAUUAUGUGUAUUUUCUUAACUACCCAGUGUAUAUUAAUUUUUUUUAAUUAUUUUUUGCCAAUCUUUUUUGAUUCUGGUACAUUUUUGUCUGUGAAAGUAUCUGUAUGCUGUCUAUGUGUCCUUUUAUUUAGAUCUUUACACCUUGGCUAAUGUACAACCCACUAGCCAUGUGCCCUUUUGUCAGCUCCUAAUUUUCCUUCCAUCAUAAUUAUUUUAACUAGACUGACCCACAUUCUUUAGAUGUGUGUCCUUACUCUGAUUCAUUAUGAGACAUCCAAAUGAAAGUAGAUGGAAAACCAUGUCAUUAGCUUUGGGUUUGUAUCUGCACUGGGGCAGAGGCUCUUUUAAGUAGUUGUUCUGCAUUGUUCAUUUUUCUGAUUUUAUACCUAGUGUCAGUUAGGUUUCUGCUUUCCGUCUGAUGCUGGUGGUGUAGGCUUAAGCCCCUACAAAAUCAAACUCGAUUAAAUGGGCUUAAUGAUGGAUGGAAGAUUUAACAGCUAUAUUAAACCUUAACACUGCAUGCCCAGUUCAAAACUGUUGUUUACUUAAAGAGCACCAAGGCCAAAGGAUUCUUGCUCAGCUCAGUUCCCUCUUCUAAACAUGGGGGUAGAGAUGCUUAAACAUUUAAUAUUGAAACCAAAGAUUUUAGAUGAUACCCAUUUCAUUUGGAACUAAACCCCACAUUUUACAAAUACUGGAUCUAGUUAAGUUUGUUUAGUAAAUGCAUGAGGAUUGCUGGGAAGGGAGGACCUGGCAAUUGGAUGGCAGUUUCAGCCCAUUGGAGAAGAGGGGAGCUGCUGAGGGACACAGGUCAAGGUGACAAGAUGAUACCCCAGCUUUCUCUGCUUUACUAAAGAGAAACUCACAUUAGUAUACCAUCAAAGAAGUUCCCAAACAGUUUUUUGCAGCUAGCAGACUCGGGUAUGGAUUUUGCCAUAUGAUCUCACUGCUUCUUACCACUUGAUGUAUAUUACUGAAUGCUGUUUACUUCAUGUUUACAUGUACAAAUUGUAACUAUGUAUCUGUAUAAUACAGAUUUGGAUAUGAGAUUUUUGUGUAAUUAAAGGAUCAAUAAUUGUA